rnacentral:pre_miRNA from 11 species
CGAAAAAAUAUUGAAUACCUUAGGGGAGAAACUGUGCGUUCUAUGUUGAAGAAUGCUUUUUAAUUCACUUUGAAAGUCAUAAGCGUAUAGCUUUUCCCCUUAGGUGUUUAAGUAGCGUCAU